UACGUAGGGUGCAAGCGUUAAUCGGAAUUACUGGGCGUAAAGCGUGCGCAGGCGGCUUUGCAAGACAGAUGUGAAAUCCCCGGGCUUAACCUGGGAACUGCAUUUGUGACUGCAUGGCUAGAGUACGGCAGAGGGGGAUGGAAUUCCACGUGUAGCAGUGAAAUGCGUAGAUAUGUGGAGGAACACCGAUGGCGAAGGCAAUCCCCUGGGCCUGUACUGACGCUCAUGCACGAAAGCGUGGGGAGCAAACAGG
rnacentral:rRNA from 1 species